AGAGUAGAUUACAGCCAAGGAUGACUUGCCGGCGUUUAUUCUUGCCAAUCCACAUUGUCAAAUUAGAUCGGCAAGUUGUCUUUGGCUAUAGUUUGUUCUUC
rnacentral:pre_miRNA from 1 species